UCAUGACUUAUCUUUUCUUCUCCAAUCCUUCCCACCCAAUCUCUCUUUGUUGUCUUCUCUUCUACUUCUUGCCUUCCCCCACGCCGCCUCCCCGUACCGCGCUGCCUCCAGCCUUCCCCCACGCGCCUCCCCGUACCACCUCCGCUGCCCGUGGCAACGCACUGACGUCUCCGCUGCGGUUUCCAUCCCGGAGUUCGUCCAACCCCGGCAUUCUCCCAUGUCUAGGACUCCACCCCUAUUCGAUGGCGUGAUGGGCUGCCUUGUGGUGCGUCGGCUCUCGCCCGUGAAGGUGCGGGCCGCCGGGACAAGGAGGUGGCCAUGGAAAACUCCACGGUGCGAAUGUCCUCCUUGUGUUGGAGUGCACGUCCGGCGAGGUCGGCGGUGAGGACUAUGGUCGCUGCUAGAUCAAUGUUGGUCGGCCGUCUUGCCUACGUGUCUGUGACGCCUUAUUCAUGGCGAUGACGACGACGUAGGCUGCGAGAGCCAUCUUAGGGGCGUCUGCAAGUGCGCCACUCAGGGAAGCUGUGUUCUUCUUCACCGAUAACCACAACCACGGAUGACGUAGCACGGAAAGAACUGUGAGGCCCCUUGCUAUUUUUCUCGUUGCUUGAUCUGAUUGCAUAAUCCCAGGAAAUAAUUUCUUGGUCUGAUUGUGUGCAGAUUUAGUUUUUAUUAUGAGUGUCAUCUCUGCUAUCAUGUCUCUUCUGUAACAAUCAACCGGCAUGCCAAUCCUUUCAAAUUACUAGUGAAUGCGCACGUGCAAUGCACAUUAAUAUUUAGACAAUAUAUUAAUUGCACGUGGAUAUUAGGUAUGCUAUUAUUUGUGUGAUAAUUCUGUGAUUAGUGCAAUAUUUGGUAUGAUAUUAAUUGCACGUUAAACAUGUUGAACGCUCGCCAUUGGAGCAGUGUUGGUCGUUGGAUUGACCUGGUUUGAUGGUCGAGAUCAGUUGGAUCUGCCCCUUUGGGUCUUUUUAUAUUGGUAUAGAUAUAGAUUAUGGAGUACAAAAUCUAGAUUCAUGAAAUACGCUCCAGCUAUGCUGCAAGACUAGAUUAUGCGGUACGAAAUCUAUACUCAUGAAAUACGCUGCAUGCUACAAGAAUAGAUAAUUUCAGGAGCUAUGAUGUAGUGAGCAAAGAUAUAAUAGAAAUAUGGACAUAAAACAAAGAUAUAAUAGAAAGAUGGACAUACCCUACGUGCCUGAUGUGUUAUCCUUUGGUAACUCUAAUGUAAUGAAACUUCACAGGCAUGGAAUUUAAGGCAUAAGGUAUGCGUAGUUGCAUACUAUAAGGAGUCGCAAAGAUUUAUUUCUGUACCUCGUUUGAUAUCGUUCCUUGAUUCAUUAUUCAAAAUCUAGAUGAAUUUAUCAAAUCAAUAUGUUUGAUUUGGAGUGAAGAGUGAAGAAUAUUAAUUCGUAGUAUUAUUAAAAUGCUUUGUUUAAGGUACAUGGACUGUUUUAAUCUAUGAUUUUUGGGCAUGAAUUUUUACCUAUCAUUUAGGUCUAUAGGUAUGUAAUCUUUGAUUCUUGUAAAUAAUAUAACAUCACUUUUACAUAUUAAACGUUCACAUCCGUCACAUCUUCUCUAGAUGUUACAUUGUCGCAUUCUGCACAAAUAUGUGCAAAUUCUGUUAUUGGCAAUGCUACAAGUAUUUGGAGAACAGUGCAAGAUAUCAAAUUCUUGGGGAAGCUUGCAGUAUUGGUUAAAGCAUUCUCAUUCACGACUACCCAAUCAUCAUAUCUGAACAUCAUGACUUAGGGGCAUAUGAGGUAUUCCUCUAUUCUUAGUUAGUUACAUAAGGGCAAGUGGUGAUAGUGGGAUUCAGGAGGAGUGGAGACAAUCAAUUGUUUUGAUUCCUAAAGAAAAACUUCAAGAGUUGCAGCAUCCUGUUUCUUUUGACGACCAAGAAGGAUCAGAAGAAGACUUGAACAACUGUCCAUCUGAAGCAGACCGUAACAAUGAUACUGAGAUCAGCGUGGUUGAGGAUGGUGAUUAUACUAAGUUUGAGAAACGGAUCCAAGAGAUGUUCCAAGAGGCACUUGAUGGGGUUCGUCAAGAUAAUUUUAUACAAAUCAAUGCACUCAGGUAUAAAUUUCUGCAUAUUUUGAGUUGAGGCAAAAAGGAAGUUAUAGGAUAUGUUUGUAGCUUUCCAAUAGUACCAUAUUUGAGUUUGGUCAGUGACGCAAGAGUUGCACCCAAAAUAAAUUUAUGUCUGACAAUUAUUUCAUAGUGAUUGUUAUCUGUUUUGAAGAUUUAAGCCACGAGUAUGUCAUAAUUAAAUUAUGUCUACAACCUGAAAUUUGUAGUUGUAGAUAACCAUAUUGGUAUCUUUUGUUGUGUUUGGUCAAGCAAAAUUAAAGAGAUGGAGGCAUCAUCGAGGAAACAACAAGUAAACGGAUUAAGGUAGAAAAAUUCUUUAUAGUAUUAGUUGUUGAACGAUAAAUUUAUUGAUGACUAUGAUUACUAUAGUGAUUCCAACAUUGUGCUCGCCUUGCUAAACACUAUGAAGCAAAGGAAAGCCACAAGAACAAAUGUUCCCCUCAACCUGAAGAUGUGAAGUAGACUGCUGCUCCCGGUAUAUGUGUUGUUUCCGCUGGAUGAUGCUCUGUUGCCUGAUCACUCCUACCUGUCAUGUUCUUCCCUUAUCUUGAUACUCGGUGAAGUAGUUCAUGCUGCUAGCUUUGCAUGCUACGGAGUCUCCAUCUCAUCUUUGAUAAAUUCAGUUUUGGUCUAUACACGUAUUUGUACCCAGGUCCAAGAUCUGGCUGAUGAUAUUGUUUUGACUAAUAAUGAUCUGAUUAUUCAUACCUUUUUUUGGACA